rnacentral:rRNA from 1 species
UCAGACGAUGCGUCAUGCAUAUCAAUAAGCGGAGGAAAAGAAACUAACAAGGAUUCCCCUAGUAACGGCGAGUGAAGCGGGAAGAGCUCAAAUUUGAAAUCUUGAAGGGUUUCCCUUUACGAAUUGUAGUUUAAAGAAGUGUUUUCUGUUGAGGUUUUGGUAAAAGUUCUUUGGAAUAGGACAUCAUAGAGGGUGAGAAUCCCGUAUUUGACCUUUACUUUCAACUUUGUGAUACACUUUCAAAGAGUCGGAUUGUUUGGGAAUGCAGUCCAAAAUGGGUGGUAAAUUUCAUCUAAAGCUAAAUAUUGGCGAGAGACCGAUAGCGAACAAGUACCGUGAGGGAAAGAUGAAAAGAACUUUGAAAAGAGAGUUAAACAGUACGUGAAAUUGUCAAAAGGGAAGCGUUUGACACCAGUGUUGUUUUUCUGAAAAUCAAUUAAAGAACUGUUUAUGCUAAGUUGUUUAGACUUUAUCAGCUAACUGUUUAGUUUUGAGCUUUUCUUUAAUGCACUUUUCAGUUAACAAGUCAACAUCAAUUUCUUUUGCUGUAAAAAAGCUUGAGGAAGGUGGCUUGAGAUUCGUCUUAAGUGUUUAUAGCCUCUUGCCUAUGCAGUCGGAGAGAUUGAGGUCUGCAGCGUAGAUCCUUCGGGGCUAAAUGCAUUUGUGCUAAGUUAUAGCAUUUUAUAGACAACUUGUUGACUAUGAUUUGUCUUGUAGCUUACUCGCUUAUGCUAUUUUACCUACGCUUAGGAUGUUGAGCGCAUGUCUCUCUCU